AGCUGGCAUUUCCUUUAAUUUGGGGANUGCAUGUGCACACCUUCUCUUUCAUCCACACACCCCUGUGCACUUGUGAGACAGAUUGCUUUUUGGAGGGGGAAUUUUUUGGAACCCUUUCUUUUUGUCUCUCUGUACACUUAAAUAAUAUACUCUCUUUUUAUUUUAAUAUGAGUGUUGUGUNUGUAACACCUCUAAUANUAUUUCUCCAACGCGUAUCUCGUGUCUCUCACCUCGAAAAAAAACGCCGAAAUGUGAUAUAUAUUGUGAGAAGUGCAGAUUUCUGAGACUCAUCAACUCUUAGAGCGCCCCGUGCUCUCCGUGAUUUUCCUUGGAACGCGCCUGUUAGAAUAUUAAAAACUCCUCAAAAUAAUAUUUUUUGAAAUUUCUUGUGUUUGCGCUUUGAUAGGAGAGCUCUAGCGCCUCUUCACCCCUGCCCCUCUUUUUUUUUUAUGUGUAUCUCAGUGUUACGCUUGUCCCCUCUCCGCGAGAUAAUAUAUAUAUCUCAGAAGACUCUUUCUCAACUCGGAAAAAAAAUUUUGAGAGGGGCGCCCGGGGAAGAUGAAGAAAAACCUCUUCUAAUACUCUGUUGUCUUGAACAAACAUUUUUUAUCAGCUGACCCCACAUCAAGUACUACCCCCCGCUGNUUUUCAUCUUAUUAAUAGNGAGGAGGA
rnacentral:misc_RNA from 1 species